rnacentral:rRNA from 1 species
UACGUAGGAUGCAAGCGUUGUCCGGAUUUAUUGGGCGUAAAGAGCGUGUAGGCGGCUCGGUAAGUCCGCUGUAAAAGUCCAGGGCUCAACCCUGGAAAGCCGGUGGAAACUGUCGGGCUAGAGUCCGGAAGAGGCGAGUGGAAUUCCUGGUGUAGCGGUGAAAUGCGCAGAUAUCAGGAGGAACACCAAUGGCGAAGGCAGCUCGCUGGGACGGUACUGACGCUGAGACGCGAAAGCGUGGGGAGCAAACAGG